AUGCUCGAGAGAGACGGGAGGAAGCGCUCGCUACUCCUUCCAGGACGACAACCGAGGGUCAGUGGAGGGGGUCGCGGACGGCCGAGCACCAGGGGCACGUCUGUGCGGGCAGAGGGCAGCACAGCACCCCCAGGGCCUGAAGAAGUCGGGCGCCGGGCGCGCGAUUUCUCUCGAGAAGUCUGGACACACCGUAGUUUCCUAGGUCUUUGCACCCGCGAGCGAUCCCCCCCGGGUCCGGGGUCCCCCCCCCCCCCCGCCACUCACCCCACGGCCGCGGCUGGCGGUGCAGGAGGCUCGGGGCGCCGCGUCCGCCGGGAUCGCAGGGAGCGCGCCGGCUUCCGAGGCGCCGCGGGGGCGCGGGCGGGGGCGCGAGGUCCCCCCGGGAGCCGCCGAGAUGGGCGCCCACACGGCCGCGCGGGCUCGGCGGCGGCGGGGCGAGGGCGCGCUCCGGGCCGGGCGGGAACCAGCGAGCCUCCGCGCCCCGGAGCGCCGAGCGCCCACCCGGCCUCGGGCAGAGCCGCGGCGCGCCCGCCCCCCCGGGGCCCCUCGGGGCGGCCGCUCGGGGCGGGCCGGGGGGAGGGGGUCGCCCGGCCCCGCCCCGCCGCCCGGGGGACCCGCUCACGGCCCGCCCCCGCCCCGCAGCCGCGCGGAGUCCAGAAGCCGGCGGGGAACGGGUCCCGGUGCUGGAGGCCAAAGCGCGGCUGCCGCGGUCCGCCGAGCCGGGCUCCGCCCCGCCCUCGAGCCUCGGCGGCGGCACCUACCCACGUCCGGGCUCUGGGUCCCGGGAGAGGCAGCCUCACGGCCGCACUGCGGCUCAGCCGAGGAGCAGCCGAGAGCCGGCAAAAAAAAAAAAAAAAAAAAGUCGAGGAGAGACUCGUGGCGUUCGGUGGGAGGAUGAAAGCGAGAGCCCGCAGCCCCCGAGCCCGCGGCCCCGCCGGCCCCGCCUCCUCCGGACCCCGCAGCCGAGGGCGCCGCUUCGGGUCGGAACUCGCCCGGCCCGGCCGAGUGUGCAGGAGCAAGGGCCGCCCUGUCCUCGGCCCGCAUCGCCCGGACGCGUCCCCGCCAACCCCGCACCCACUUUCGGGAGCGGCAAGUCGCGGCGCGCCCCGUGACCCAGCUCGUCCUCCCGACGCGGGUCCAACCCGCGGGCUCGGCCGCAGGGCACCGCUCGCCGUCCUCGCAGCCUGCGCGGCGCAGGCACCGAAGUCGCUCGGGGGGAGCGGAGGGAGCGCGCGGGCAGCCGAGACGCGGCGCCCCCCGCCCCGCCCCGCCCCCCGGGGUGCCGGCUCGGGCCCACUCACCGCGGCCGGCGCUCCCCGCUCCCCGCUCCCCGGCGCCGGCUCCCGGAGUCCGCAGCCGCGGCGGCUCGGGACCGCGAGGGGGCAGGGCGGCGCGGGGCGGGGCUCGGCCGCGGCCGCAGGUAACAAUGCGGCGGACCCGCCCGCUCCCGCCCGGUCCCGGCGCCCGCCAAGGGCAGCACGUCCUUUCCUGCCCGGCCCCUUCCCCCUCCCGGCCUCCGGCCUCCGGCCUCCGAGCGGCGGCGGCGCUCACCUGCGCCCACCGGGGCCCGGGGGCCCGAAGCCGCCGCCCGCACGCCGCUCCCCGCACCCGGAGGCCCCGAGGGCGGCAGGGGCGGCGGGAACCCGACAGCGAGGACGGUUAACGGGAACCGCUCGGUUAUAG
rnacentral:lncRNA from 1 species